rnacentral:misc_RNA from 1 species
AACGCACAUUGCGCUCCUUGGUAUUCCGGGGAGCAUGCCCGUUUCAGAAUCAUUAAGUAUCUCACCCCAACCUCGGUGUUGCAAGACACUGGGCGAGGUGUGGAGGCUGGAUGUCUUUUGCGUCGAACGGCGCAAAUCAUCUGAAAAUGAUGGUGCGUGCUGCCGCAAGUUCCGGCGGUUUGGCCCUCAAAGUGCAACAGAAUCAACUCUAUUCACAAUGAGGCCGUCUGCAGGACGUCGGCAAGGCGUGCACUCCCCCAACGUCACGGCUGGAAAGUCGCGCCCUUUCGCGGGGCGGGAUGGACCAUCUGAAAACUUGGUCUGAAAUCGGGCAAGAAAACCCGCUGAACUUAA